rnacentral:rRNA from 1 species
AUCAACUUUCGAUGGUAGGAUAGAGGCCUACCAUGGUGGUAACGGGUAACGGGGUGUUAGGGCACGACACCGGAGAGGGAGCCUGAGAAACGGCUACCACAUCCAAGGAUGGCAGCAGGCGCGCAAAUUACCCAAUCCCGACACGGGGAGGUAGUGACAAUAAAUAACAAUACGGGGUUCUUAAGGAUCUCGUAAUUGGAAUGAGUACAAUUUAAAUCUCUUAACGAGGAACAAUUGGAGGGCAAGUCUGGUGCCAGCAGCCGCGGUAAUUCCAGCUCCAAUAGCGUAUAUUAAAGUUGUUGCAGUUAAAAAGCUCGUAGUUGAAUUUCGGGGUUAGUAGGUUGGUCAUGCCUCUGGUAUGUACUGGUCUCACUGAUUCCUCCUUCCUUAUGAACCGUAAUGCCAUUAAUUUGGUGUUGCGGGGAAUUUGGACUGUUACUUUGAAAAAAUUAGAGUGUUUAAAGCAGGCUAACGCUUGAAUACAUUAGCAUGGAAUAAUGAAAUAGGACGUUCGAUCUUAUUUUGUUGGUUUCUAGGAUUGACGUAAUGAUUAAUAGGGAUAGUUGGGGGCAUUAGUAUUCAAUUGUCAGAGGUGAAAUUCUUGGAUUUAUUGAAGACUAACUACUGCGGAAGCAUUUGCCAAGGAUGUUUUCAUUAAUCAAGAACGAAAGUUAGGGGAUCGAAGACGAUCAGAUACCGUCGUAGUCUUAACCAUAAACUAUGCCGACUAGGGAUCGGAUGAUGUUAUUUUUAAUGACUCAUUCGGCGCCUUACGGGAAACCAAAGUGUUUGGGUUC